GACGAACGCUGGCGGCGUGCUUAACACAUGCAAGUCGAACGGAAAGGCCCUGCUUUUGUGGGGUGCUCGAGUGGCGAACGGGUGAGUAACACGUGAGUAACCUGCCCUUGACUUUGGGAUAACUUCAGGAAACUGGGGCUAAUACCGGAUAGGAGCUCCUGCUGCAUGGUGGGGGUUGGAAAGUUUCGGCGGUUGGGGAUGGACUCGCGGCUUAUCAGCUUGUUGGUGGGGUAGUGGCUUACCAAGGCUUUGACGGGUAGCCGGCCUGAGAGGGUGACCGGCCACAUUGGGACUGAGAUACGGCCCAGACUCCUACGGGAGGCAGCAGUGGGGAAUAUUGCACAAUGGGCGGAAGCCUGAUGCAGCAACGCCGCGUGCGGGAUGACGGCCUUCGGGUUGUAAACCGCUUUCGCCUGUGACGAAGCGUGAGUGACGGUAAUGGGUAAAGAAGCACCGGCUAACUACGUGCCAGCAGCCGCGGUGAUACGUAGGGUGCGAGCGUUGUCCGGAUUUAUUGGGCGUAAAGGGCUCGUAGGUGGUUGAUCGCGUCGGAAGUGUAAUCUUGGGGCUUAACCCUGAGCGUGCUUUCGAUACGGGUUGACUUGAGGAAGGUAGGGGAGAAUGGAAUUCCCUGGUGGGGCGGUGGAAUGCGCAGAUAUCAGGAGGAACACCAGUGGCGAAGGCGGUUCUCUGGGCCUUUCCUGACGCUGAGGAGCGAAAGCGUGGGGAGCGAACAGGCUUAGAUACCCUGGUAGUCCACGCUGUAAACGGUGGGUACUAGGUGUGGGGUCCAUUCCACGGGUUCCGUGCCGUAGCUAACGCUUUAAGUACCCCGCCUGGGGAGUACGGCCGCAAGGCUAAAACUCAAAGGAAUUGACGGGGCCCCGCACAAGCGGCGGAGCAUGCGGAUUAAUUCGAUGCAACGCGUAGAACCUUACCUGGGUUUGACAUGGAUCGGGAGUGCUCAGAGAUGGGUGUGCCUCUUUUGGGGUCGGUUCACAGGUGGUGCAUGGCUGUCGUCAGCUCGUGUCGUGAGAUGUUGGGUUAAGUCCCGCAACGAGCGCAACCCUUGUUCACUGUUGCCAGCACGUUAUGGUGGGGACUCAGUGGAGACCGCCGGGGUCAACUCGGAGGAAGGUGGGGAUGACGUCAAGUCAUCAUGCCCCUUAUGUCCAGGGCUUCACGCAUGCUACAAUGGCUGGUACAGAGAGUGGCGAGCCUGUAAGGGUGAGCGAAUCUCGGAAAGCCGGUCUCAGUUCGGAUUGGGGUCUGCAACUCGACCUCAUGAAGUCGGAGUCGCUAAUAAUCGCAGAUCAGCAACGCUGCGGUGAAUAAGUUCCCGGG
rnacentral:rRNA from 1 species